AAUCACGCCUCCGAUCAGCGCGUACAGUGUCGAGCUCAAAACAAACGAAUUUAUUCUUGUUUAAGAGCUUUUUUAAAUAAAAUAUUACCACAAAUGCACACAAUAAACCCAUUGUAACACUACAAGAGCUAAAUGCAGGUGUUUGUGACCCGUUUAAGUGUGCAAGACUAUUUGAAAGCGCGACUGGCAGAAUAACAUAUAUCUCUCGAGCUGCAGGAUUCUGCCUUUCGUCGUACGAACGAACACAUCACGGACAAGAUUAUUUCAAAAUACAUAAUAGCUUGGCGACUAUAAACGAAAACAGCCACGUGAACAUAAACUGUUGAGAAAUAAAUCUGAAAUGGAUCUACUGGAUUUUAAUAUUAAGUGACCGCAUAUACCAGCUGCUUCUGUCUUCAAUUUUGAUCCAUAUAAAAAAUGAAACUCAUUCAUCUUGGCUGCUUUUUUUAAUGUGUGUACGUAUUUAUUUAUUUAUUUAUUUAUUAUUUUGCUCUAACAAGAAUUAAUCUAUAUUUAAUUAAAUCAAUUACAUUUUAUUUUACAUUUGAUUUGUCCAUUUCUGCAUCUAAACGCCUAAAAACCUAUUAUACUAUUGUUAGCAAUUUCUUUAUCGUCCAAUUUAUCUGGUGUACACUUUUAUUUUCAUAAUAAACUUGUUUGUUAGAUUAUACACAGUUACAGUGGUCUAUAAUAAAUAUUGACAGGUUUUAUUCAAGCUGUUUAGAAUGAUUGCAGUAGGCAAAUGUUUUGAAAUGUAAAUAAAAUAAAAAAAAUUUAAAUAAAUAAAUAAAUAAAAAACAUUGGAAAAGAAUAACUGUUGUACAUUUUUAUACAUUUUGUAUAAUUUCAUAGUUUAUGCAUUAUAGUUAUAAAAACAAAUAAAUUUAGCCACUCACAUAAAAUCUUAUAGGCCUUAUCCUUUUCUGACAGUUUUAGGGAUUUUUAAAAAUCCUAAAAAACCUUAUUUGUGCUGCAAAUAAUAAUUUCAAACUCAAACAGUAAAUAUUCAGUUCAUGCUUUAUAAAGCCUUGUCCCAAUAUUAAUAGUCAGUAGUAAGCAGUUUAUAAAUACAGCUAUAAAAAGCUUGUUCUUGGGUUAUAAGCACAUUUAUUAAAAAGGAGAGUAAAGGGUCAGUUAUCUUCCUAUGAAAAAUAAAAAAACAAAAAAAAACAAACAACAACACAGAUUGAUACAGAACUCAGAAAUUUUAUUGUGGA